GUUGGAUAACUGAGGUAAUUCUUGAGCUAAUACACGCUAUUUAUACCACAUUAGUGGUGCGUUUAUUUGAUUAAACCAUUUUAUAUUGGUUGACUCAAAAUAUCCUCGCUGAUUUUGUUACUAAAACAUACCGUAUGUGUAUCUGGUUUAUCAACUUUCGAUGGUAGGGUAUUGGCCUACCAUGGUUGUGACGGAUAACGGAGAAUUAGGGUUCGACUCCGGAGAGGGAGCCUGAGAAACGGCUACCACAUCCAAGGAAGGCAGCAGGCGCGAAAAUUACCCAAUUUUAGUUAAAAGAGGUAGUGACGAAAAAUGACAACCAAAUAUUAUUAUUAAUAUUUGGAUUGAAAAUCUUCAAGUAUAAAUAACUUGUUGGUAAAGGAAAGGGCAAGUCUGGUGCCAGCAGCCGCGGUAAUACCAGCUUUCCAAGUGCAUAAAAUGAUUGUUGUGGUUAAAAAGCUCGUAGUUGGAUUAUAAAGAUUGUAUAAUGAGCAUCUUGGAUGUUAUUUAAUCAUUAUCAUCUUAUAUUUUUAUUAUAUUAGAAAUAAUAUAAUAACUGUUACUUUGAAUAAAUCAGAGGGUUUAAACCAGACAUUAUAUGUUUGUAUGGUCUAGCAUGGAAUAACACUAUAGAAAAAUUUAGUGUGGUUUCACUUAAUUUUUCAUGAUUAAUAGGAACAAACGGGGGCAUUCGUAUCGCUACGUUAGAGGUGAAAUUCUUGGACCGUAGCGAGACGUCCUACUGCGAAAGCAUUUGCCAAGAAUGUUUCAUAAUCAAGAACGAAAGUUAGAGGUUCGAAGGCGAUCAGAUACCGCCCUAGUUCUAACCGUAAACUAUGCCUACUAGAUGUAUGAAUUAUUAGUUAUAAUAAUUUAUGCAUCUUCUCGGAAACGAAAGUCUUUCGGUUCCGGGGGAAGUAUGGUUGCAAAGCUGAAACUUAAAGGAAUUGACGGAAGGGCACCACCAGGAGUGGAGCCUGCGGCUUAAUUUGACUCAACACGGGAAAACUCACCCGGGCCGGACACUAUAAGGAUUGACAGAUUGAUAGCUCUUUCAUGAUUUAGUGGUUGGUGGUGCAUGGCCGUUCUUAGUUCGUGGAUAUGAUUUGUCUGGUUGAUUCCGAUAACGAGCGAGACUUUUAUGUUAUAUUAAAUAUUAUUAUUUUGUUUAUUUUAAUAUAAAUAAUUAAUAUUUUAAUAACAGAUUAAUAGUGUUUAACUAUUUGAGAGAGAGCGAUAACAGGUCUGUGA
rnacentral:rRNA from 1 species